rnacentral:rRNA from 1 species
AAUCUUACCGGGUCCGGACGUAUCGAGGAUUGACAGAUAGUUAUACAUGCCCUACAAGCAAGUAGGAGUCAGGUUUUAAACCUAAUGGCUCUUUCAUGAUUAUAUGAUAGGUGGUGCAUGGCCGUUCUUAGUUCGUGGAGUGAUCUGUCUGCUUAAUUGCGUUUCAAAUUUUUAACCGAGGACCGGGUUUUGGUUUGGCUAGUGGUCCUACGAUGACUGUGAACUGUCAUGUCUUCGGAUGUACGACUAUCGGUCUAGGAUCACAUGACUUGCCCCUGGGACUCUUUUGAACGCAACGGACGUGAUUGCAACCCCUUGUUGAGAUUAGAGAUAGUCUCGAUAUUCACUGGCCAAACUGGCUGCUUUAUGCAGUCUUGUUGAAUGGUGGAUAAACUCGGGGGACUGCUGACUAUAACCAUUUCUCAAAACAGAGGAAGGUUGCGGCAAUAACAGGUCUGUGAUGCCCUCAGAUGUCCCGGGCUGCACACGUGCUACAAUGAGUGGCGCAAUGUGCUAAUGUUUUAAGGGAUAAGCGUGCGGCCAGUAGAACGUCGGCAAUUGCCCUGGCGUCUUCUACCGCACGAUUAUCAGCCUUCCCUUAACAGGGCGGGCAACCUUUUCAAAAUACCGGUUUGAUGUUAAAGUAUAGAGUCGUUUUUUUUGGAUGGUGGUUUACGAACCAAUACCAUCCGCAACUGCUCGCGAGUUUGUGGUUCUGGUGACUCAUGGUGG